UUUCCGUAGGUGAACCUGCGGAAGGAUCAUUAACGAGCGAGGGUCCUAGUGGCCCAACCUCCCAACCCUUUGUUUACUGAACCUAUGUUGCUUCGGUGGGCCCGUCUCUGGACCGCCGGGGGUUCGCCGCGAGGCGUCCCCUGGCCAGCGCCCGCCGGUGGCCAACCAUUAAAACUCUUGAAUGAAUCGUGUCCUCUUGUCUAAGUCAUGAUUAUUAAAUCAAAAACAAAACUUUCAACAACGGAUCUCUUGGUUCUGGCAUCGAUGAAGAACGCAGC
rnacentral:misc_RNA from 1 species